rnacentral:rRNA from 1 species
AACGAACGCUGGCGGCAUGCCUAACACGUGCAAGUCGAACGAGACCUUCGGGUCUAGUGGCGCACGGGUGCGUAACGCGUGGGAACCUGCCCUUAGGUUCGGAAUAACUCCCCGAAAGGGGUGCUAAUACCGGAUAAUGUCUUCGGACCAAAGAUUUAUCGCCUUUGGAUGGGCCCGCGUUGGAUUAGCUAGUUGGUAGGGUAAAAGCCUACCAAGGCGACGAUCCAUAGCUGGUCUGAGAGGAUGAUCAGCCACACUGGGACUGAGACACGGCCCAGACUCCUACGGGAGGCAGCAGUGGGGAAUAGUGGACAAUGGGCGAAAGCAUGAUCCAGCAAUGCCGCGUGAGUGAUGAAGGCCUUAGGGUUGUAAAGCUCCUUUACCCGGGAUGAUAAUGACAGUACCGGGAGAAUAAGCUACGGCUAACUCCGUG